GAUGAACGCUGGCGGCGUGCUUAACACAUGCCAGUCGAACGGUGAAGGCGGAGCUUGCUCUGCUGGAUCAGUGGCGAACGGGUGAGUAACACGUGAGCAAUCUGCCCCUGACUCUGGGAUAAGCGCUGGAAACGGCGUCUAAUACUGGAUACGAGCUGCGAAGGCAUCUUCAGCAGCUGGAAAGAACUUCGGUCAGGGAUGAGCUCGCGGCCUAUCAGCUUGUUGGUGAGGUAACGGCUCACCAAGGCGUCGACGGGUAGCCGGCCUGAGAGGGUGACCGGCCACACUGGGACUGAGACACGGCCCAGACUCCUACGGGAGGCAGCAGCGGGGAAUAUUGCACAAUGGGCGAAAGCCUGAUGCAGCAACGCCGCGUGAGGGACGACGGCCUUCGGGUUGUAAACCUCUUUUAGCAGGGAAGAAGCGAAAGUGACGGUACCUGCAGAAAAAGCGCCGGCUAACUACGUG
rnacentral:rRNA from 1 species